CAGCCGCCGCGGUAAUACGUAGGGUGCGAGCGUUAAUCGGAAUUACUGGGCGUAAAGCGUGCGCAGGCGGUUAUAUAAGACAGAUGUGAAAUCCCCGGGCUCAACCUGGGACCUGCAUUUGUGACUGUAUAGCUAGAGUACGGUAGAGGGGGAUGGAAUUCCGCGUGUAGCAGUGAAAUGCGUAGAUAUGCGGAGGAACACCGAUGGCGAAGGCAAUCCCCUGGACCUGUACUGACGCUCAUGCACGAAAGCGUGGGGAGCAAACAGGAUUAGAUACCCGAGUAGUCCCUGUCUCUUAUAC
rnacentral:rRNA from 1 species